rnacentral:sRNA from 1 species
ACUACUGCUGUUAAUAAAAUUUCUAGUUAUCUACAGCAUAGAUAAAGCACAGACAGCUUCAUUACAGUAUCCCACCAAUGUGCCUCAACUAGGAAGCUGGAGGCACCACUUCUAUGGAUGAAAGGGAAGUUCAAAGUCCCUGCAUAUUAGUGUUUAGGCUGUU